GAUUUUAAGUAGCAGACCUGUUAUAAAAAGGGCACCAGAAGAGUGGAGAUUCUAUAAGAUCCAAGAACCGAGUGAGAAGAACAUCGUCCUCAUCUCCUCCUGGUCAGAAAGAACACCAUGAAGACUCUCUGCUUCUCUCUGGGGCUGCUGCUGUUUGUUGUCUGCUGCAGUGAUGCCACAGCCCAUGGAGCUACUAACACCGCAGGACCUGAAAAAUGCUGCUUUAAAUUCAGCGAAAGGCAAUUACCACUGAAGAGAGUGACUGGAAUCAUCAGAACUCAUCACAGUUGUCAACAUCAGGCAUUUGUAGUCUCUACUGUUACUGGAAGGGAGUUCUGCUUUAGGGACAACUUCAAGUGGGCUGUGGAUACCUUCAACGGGAUCAGACCUGAAGGAAGCGGUUAAAAUGCUUCAGAAUAUUCUAUUCUCUAUAACAUAAACAUAAAAUUACCCUCUUUUUUGUAAAAAACAACUCUUUUCUUGCUUUUUAUUUUAAGUGGGCAUUUCACUUUGUGGUUCAUACUUUGUAUGUUUUGUGCUUCUUUCAUGUCUUCUGCUUUGUUAAGGCACAGAGACUUAAAAAGGUUUUUAUUGCAAUGAAUUUCAAAGACUUUGAUGCUGUCCUUAGAGCUCUAUGUUAAAAGGAGUUUCUUUCUACAUGCCAACUUUACAAUGAAGUUCUGAUUAUAGGUGAAUGUUGGCUUAAAUCACAUUUGAAUUUCUUUUGAAAAUCCAAUUAUUCUUAUUUGUUGCAUAUAAUGCACAUAUUCUUAUGCAAGAUAUUGGAAUAUAAACAACUGAAGUCCUG